UGGGGAAGAUUGCACAAUGGACGGAAGUUUGAUGCAGCGACGCCGCGAGGAGGGGGUAGGCCUUCGGGUUGUGAACUCCUUUUUCGCGCGAAAAAGGCACAGUUUUGGCUGUGUUGAUGGUAGUGGGGGAAGAAGCGCCGGCUAACCACGUGCCAGCAGCCGCGGUAAUACGUAGGGCGCGAGCGUUGUCCGGAUUUAUUGGGCGUAAAGAGCUCGUAGGUGGUUCGUCGCGUCGGUCGUGCAAGCCAGCAGCUUAACUGUUGGUCUGCGGUGGGUACGGGCGUGCUUGAGUGCAGUCGGGGUGACUGUAAUUCCUGGUGUAGCGGUGGAAUGCGCAGAACUCAGGAGGAACACCGAUGGCCAAGGCAGGUCACUGGGCCGUUACUGACACUGAGGAACGAACGCGUGUGGUGCGAACAGG
rnacentral:rRNA from 1 species